rnacentral:rRNA from 1 species
GAUGAACGCUGGCGGCGUGCCUAAUACAUGCAAGUCGAGCGAACAGACGAGGAGCUUGCUCCUCUGACGUUAGCGGCGGACGGGUGUGUAACACGUGGAUAACCUACCUAUAUGACUGGGAUAACUUCGGGACACCGGAGCUAAUACCGGAUAAUAUCUUGCACCGCAUGGUUCAUUAGUGAAAGUCGGUUUUUCUGUCACUUCUAGCUGGAUCUGCGCGGCAUUAGCUAGUUGGUAAGUUAACGGCUUACCAAGGCAAGGAUGCGUAGCCGACCUGAGAGGGGGAUCGGCCACACGGGAACGGAGACACGGACCAGACGCCUACGGGAGGCAGCAGUAGGGAAGCUGCCGCAAUGGGCGAAAGCUUGACGGAGCAACGCCGCGUGAGAGAUGAAGGUCUUCGGAUCGUAAAACUCUGUUAUUAGGGAAGAACAAAUGUGUAAGGAAAUAUGCACGUCUUGACGGUACCGAAUCAGAAAGCCACGGCUAACUACGUG